rnacentral:rRNA from 1 species
CUACGGAGGGUGCAAGCGUUAUUCGGAAUCACUGGGCGUAAAGGACGCGUAGGCGGGUUGGCAAGUCAGAUGUGAAAUCCUACAGCUUAACUGAAGAACUGCAUUUGAAACUGCUAACCUAGAGUUUGGGAGGGGGAGAUGGAAUUAGUGGUGUAGGGGUAAAAUCCGUAGAUAUCACUAGGAAUACCGAAAGCGAAGGCGAUCUCCUGGAACAUAACUGACGCUAAGGCGUGAAAGCGUGGGGAGCAAACAGGAUUAGAAACCCCAGUAGUCC